rnacentral:rRNA from 1 species
AUUCUGGUUGAUCCUGCCAGAGGUUACUGCUAUCGGUGUUCGACUAAGCCAUGCUAGUUAAAUGUUCUUCGUGAACAUAGCGGACUGCUCAGUAACACGUGGACAAUCUGCCCUUGGGUUCAGCAUAACCCCGGGAAACUGGGGAUAAUUCUGAAUAGAUCACAUAUGCUGGAAUGCUUUGUGAUUAAAAGAUCCGUCGCCCAAGGAUGGGUCUGCGGCCUAUCAGGUUGUAGUGGGUCUAGAGUACCUACUAGCCAACGACGGGUACGGGUUGUGAGAGCAAGAGCCCGGAGAUGGAUUCUGAGACAUUAAUCCAGGCCCUACGGGGCGCAGCAGGCGCGAAACCUUUACACUGCGGGAAACCGCGAUAAGGGGACACCGAGUGCCAGCAUACAAUGCUGGCUGUCCACAUGUGUAAAUAGCAUGUGAUAGCAAGGGCCGGGCAAGACCGGUGCCAGCCGCCGCGGUAACACCGGCGGCCCGAGUGGUAAUCACUAUUAUUGGGUCUAAAGGGUCCGUAGCCGGUUUAAUCAGUCUUCCGGGAAAUCUGACAGCUCAACUGUUAGGCUACCGGGGGAUACUGUUAGACUUGGGACCGGGAGAGGUAAGAGGUACUACAGGGGUAGGAGUGAAAUCUUGUAAUCCCUGUGGGACCACCAGUGGCGAAGGCGUCUUACCAGAACGGGUCCGACGGUGAGGGACGAAAGCUGGGGGCACGAACCGGAUUAGAUACCCGGGUAGUCCCAGCCGUAAACGAUGCUCGCUAGGUGUCUGGAAUGGUGCGACCGUUUCAGGUGCCGCAGGGAAGCCGUGAAGCGAGCCACCUGGGAAGUACGGCCGCAAGGCUGAAACUUAAAGGAAUUGGCGGGGGAGCACUACAACGGGUGGAGCCUGCGGUUUAAUUGGACUCAACGCCGGACAACUCACCGGGGGCGACAGCAAUAUGUAGGUCAAGCUAAAGACUUUACCUGAAUCGCUGAGAGGAGGUGCAUGGCCGUCGUCAGUUCGUACUGUGAAGCAUCCUGUUAAGUCAGGCAACGAGCGAGACCCGUGCCCACUGUUGCCAGCAUAUCCUUUUUGGAUGAUGGGUACUCUGUGGGGACCGCCGAUGCUAAAUCGGAGGAAGGUGCGGGCUACGGUAGGUCAGUAUGCCCCGAAUCUCCCGGGCUACACGCGGGCUACAAUGGUUGGGACAAUGGGCUCCUACACUGAAAAGUGACGGUAAUCUCAUAAACCCAGCCGUAGUUCGAAUUGAGGGCUGAAACCCGCCCUCAUGAAGCUGGAAUCCGUAGUAAUCGCGUUUCAAUAUAGCGCGGUGAAUACGUCCCUGCUCCUUGCACACACCGCCCGUCAAACCACCCGAGUGAGGUAUGGGUGAGGGCGCGGACUUUAGUGCUGCGUUCGAACCUAAAUUUCGCAAGGGGGGUUAAGUCGUAACAAGGUAGCCGUAGGGGAAUCUGCGGCUGGAUCACCUCCU